UGGCAUUGGCGCAUUGUGAUGUGGAUGAUGGGAAGGUGGUGUUUGUUCCAUGGGUUGAGACUGAUUUCAGAACCGGUGACGCUCCCUGGUGGGCUUAGACUACUCUCCUUUCAUUCUCACACCUGCCACAUACACAUAUCAUAUGUAAUCUAUAAUUCAAACUCUAUCUCUUCUUCUAUUCAUAUAUAAACAUGUUUUGUAAUCAAUAUGUAUUUUCUGAAUCGGAGCUAGUAUAUAUAACAUAAGAAGGAACCUCAUAAUUCUUCUCUUGCAUGUCUUCUUCACUUCUCCUGGAUGCCAUUUCCGUCUCUGAAUUUCUCCCAAUUUAUAUAUUAAACUUUGUCUAAAUACAAACUCGCUUAAU
rnacentral:lncRNA from 1 species